CAACAACUACAACCGCACGCAACCGAGUUUUAAAAGCUUCGGCUGCUCGGCCGGCGAGUCUUAGAAAUUAA
rfam:Lactobacillus mucosae LM1, complete genome.